rnacentral:rRNA from 1 species
CCUACGGGUGGCUGCAGUGGGGAAUAUUGGACAAUGGGCGAAAGCCUGAUCCAGCCAUGCCGCGUGUGUGAAGAAGGCCUUUUGGUUGUAAAGCACUUUAAGUGGGGAGGAAAAGCUUAUGGUUAAUACCCAUAAGCCCUGACGUUACCCACAGAAUAAGCACCGGCUAACUCUGUGCCAGCAGCCGCGGUAAUACAGAGGGUGCAAGCGUUAAUCGGAAUUACUGGGCGUAAAGCGCGCGUAGGUGGUUAUUUAAGUCAGAUGUGAAAGCCCCGGGCUUAACCUGGGAACUGCAUCUGAUACUGGAUAACUAGAGUAGGUGAGAGGGGAGUAGAAUUCCAGGUGUAGCGGUGAAAUGCGUAGAGAUCUGGAGGAAUACCGAUGGCGAAGGCAGCUCCCUGGCAUCAUACUGACACUGAGGUGCGAAAGCGUGGGUAGCAAACAGGAUUAGAUACCCUAGUAGUC